GAUUAGAUAUAAUUUAAUAUAUAAUUUUUAUUAUUUUUAAUAUUUUAUAGAAAUAACUUUUAUUUUAGUACUAAUUUUUAAUGAAAAAAUGUUUUGUUUUUUAUAGUUAAAUUUACUGUUAAGGAAUAUUUAAUUAAUAUUUAAGUAGAACUUAAUUUUUGUACCUUUUGUAUCAGGGUUUAUUUAUAAUAUCAUAUUAAUUUAAUAUGUUUCCCGAAUUUAAAGGAGUUAUUAAUUAAAUUGUAAUUUAAUGUAUCAUAAUUAUUUAUAAAUUAUUAAUAGGGGUUAUAUGCUAUUCAUCUUUAUUUAUCUGGUUACUUAAUAAUUGAAUUUAAUUCAGAAUUAAAUAUUAUUAAUAUAUAAUUUAAUUUAUAUUAAUUAUUUAAUUUAAUAUUAAAAGGGAUAAGCUUUUUAAUAUUUUUAUAGUUUUAAUUUAUGUAAAAGUUUUGUAGGAUUAAUAAUAUUCAUCAUUUAUUUUGUUAUAAUGAAGUUUUUUUUAUUAUUUAUUUAUUUAAAACUUAAAUUUUUAUUAAGUUUUUAUUAAUUAAUUUUUAAUUAAUAGUUAUAAUGAUAAAAUUAGUAAAUUUUUUUAAUUAAUAUAUAGUAAUUCGGCAAAUUUAAUUUUCACCUGUUUAACAAAAACAUGUCUUAAUGUAAUAUUUAUUAAGUCUUGCCUGCUCAAUGAUUAUAAUUAAAUAGCCGCAGUAUUUUGACUGUGCGAAGGUAGCAUAAUCAUUUGUCUUUUAAUUGAGGGCUUGUAUGAAUGGUUUGAUGAAAAAUUAACUUUCUUUAUAUUAAAUUAUUGAAUUUAAUAUUUUAGUUAAAAAGCUAAAAUUUUUAAAUGGGACGAGAAGACCCUAUAGAAUUUUAUUUCUUUGGAUUUUUAAAUUUUUAGGUUAUUUUUAAUUUAAAAUUUUAUGGAAAUUUUGUUGGGGUGAUGAUGGGAAUUAAUUAACUCUCAUAAUUAUUAAAUUAUUAAUUAGUAUAUUUAAGAUCCUAUUUUAUGGAUAAAUAGAUUAAAUUACCUUAGGGAUAACAGCGUAAUUCUUCUGGAUAGUUCUUAUUGAUAGUGGAGUUUGCGACCUCGAUGUUGGAUUAAAAUUAGAUUUAAGUGCAGAAGCUUAAUUUCUAGGUCUGUUCGACCUUUAAAAUUUUACAUGAUCUGAGUUCAGACCGGCGUGAGCCAGGUCGGUUUCUAUCUUUUUAAUAAUUUAUGUAAAUUAGUACGAAAGGACCCUUUACAUUAAUGAUAAUUGUUAUUUAAGAAUAUCUUUAAUU
rnacentral:rRNA from 1 species